CUCAGAAAGCCCAACUCUACUGUUCUUGACGAGGAUUGGCGAGCAUAUUUCAAAUGUGUCAUGCUGUACUUUUCUAAACACAGGAGCUUUUAGCUUGUGCAAAAUAUUUCGGUAUUCCAAACGCGCAUGCCCAAAAUGAAGCGCGUCCGAGGUCAUUCGAACGCACGAGCGAUGUCUGUCCUAUCAGCGCGUUCCUACGCGGACUCGCGAAUAACCUUACCUUAACAGAGUGCAUCGUCAAGAACCCAAUGUAUGCUAAACAUCUCUCCAAUGACAUUAAAGAGGAUGGAUCUCCACAUGCAUCAAGUGAAUAUUUUAAAAGGCUGGAGACGAACUUUCACAAGUUGUCUUGACUCGUCAAUCUUGUUUACAGUUCCGCGCACACCAAAUGGACGCAACCAUCAAUAUUUGAUUUAUAAUGCAAGGCCUCAAACAUGAGAUGCAAGCCGACGACCCAUGCGAAACAUUCUGCUUUUAAGUGACCCGUCGCGGCUGUUGGUGGUCCACUUGAGCGAUUGGGAAUUUGAAAUCAGCGAACUUUGUUCGAUGAUGCAAUACCUCGACUCUCAAGGCUAGAGGAAGACAUCGGUAAGGUUCUGUGUUCUCUCGAUGAACGUGGAAAUUGAAAGGUGAAAUGGACCAUAACUUGGGGUUGAAGCUUUUCGUCUUUGUUGAGAUGUUGAUUUUCCCCGUGAAGAGUCAUCACAACACAGCGUCCUCGAGGUGGGUGCCUCUCUAGAAUGAGACAUGUCAAAGCAAUCACUCGCCUCCGGAACUUCUCCCGAGAGCAAAGUGUCCUGAAUGAUCGUGUCUAUUCUCAAGCAACCCAUGACGGUCUCCAACUUAACCAAACAGCACUCUGCUUGUAGUCACUUUAAGAGCUAAACUAAACCAUCCCUCACUGCAGGGCGCGGUAUUCACAGGUCCAAUCCAAUACAACAUUGUACUUUGGAUCUUGGUGGUUUACCUGAAGCACCCUUUAUUUAAAGAAGUGAUCGCUUGCAUGCAGCUCGGCAUGACGGGUUUGCAAACCUGCAUUCGUAAACAGAUUUCCUGUUAUGUUUUAAACCCCGUGUAGGAAUCUACUGUGUGAAGAAAUGUAAAAACAAUUACAUAUUAAAUGUACUUGUACGCGUUCACUUCCAUCAAAGCCCCAAAUCAUCCGUUAACAGUUUAUUUUACGUCAAAGACGAUAAGUAGCUUCAAAAGUAUGGGACUUUGAUGUUACUUUGAAAUCUUACUGAAAAUGUAUUAUGAAGGUAGUGCCAGGAAUAGGGGCACAGUGUAAUUCACGAUUUCUUCAGCAUCUUCAUCAUGAGCAUAGUUUGGAAUAGCAUAAUUGCAAAUUGAUUGUUUCUGAUCAAUCUGAAUAUAAAAUUUCAAUGUUUUUUCCAUACACUCUUAACUCUCUGCUUGUAUCUUGCGACAGUUCAGUACCGGUGGUAACUGCUACGAAAUGGCAAAAUGCACAGAGUUCAACUGCAAUUAGACAUUCUAUGGCAUCUUUUAUUAGCCGACUAAAUUCCUGGACCGAACGCAUAAAGCAACCGUUUAAAUGGCAUUUUUGCCUUGUCCUGUGAGGUUCAACCAAUCUGUGGUCGUCUACCGGGGAAUGGGUCGUAAAAGUAAGUCGUUUAACUGAUGGAAAUCUAUUAAAAGAUGGCAGACAAGGCACACUAAUUACAGUAGGCCUGUGUGUACCCCUAUCCGAUUACUUUUGGACCAUAAUCGUUAUGGUUCCACCGCAGUAAGACGUAUGCAUAUCUAGGAUAAACGCAACACCCCACAUUUCCUACAAGAGUUUCCCUUUGGAAUUGGUAAAACCUUUUGAAAACCGUUUAUAAACAGAACAGAAGUUAAACAGCAAAGGGCUAAAGCAUAAACAUUGAAGCAGGUCUCGAUUCAGUAAUUGAGGGGGGUGCGACUUUGUUGGAAUUGUUUAUAGGAUUAACUUCUUUAUAGAUGCGAAAUGGCUCCAUUGAGCAAUAAAAGCAA